rnacentral:rRNA from 1 species
AGUGGUGAACGGGUGAGUAAAGUAUCGGAACGUGCCCAGUCGUGGGGGAUAACGUAGCGAAAGUUACGCUAAUACCGCAUACGAUCUAUGGAUGAAAGCGGGGGAUCGCAAGACCUCGCGCGAUUGGAGCGGCCGAUAUCAAAUUAGGUAGUUGGUGGGGUAAAGGCUCACCAAGCCAACGAUCUGUAGCUGGUCUGAGAGGACGACCAGCCACACUGGGACUGAGACACGGCCCACACUCCUACGGGAGGCAGCAGUGGGGAAUUUUGGACAAUGGGCGCAAGCCUGAUCCAGCCAUGCCGCGUGCAGGAUGAAGGCCUUCGGGUUGUAAACUGCUUUUGUACGGAACGAAAAGGUUUGGCCUAAUAAGCUGAGCUCAUGACGGUACCGUAAGAAUAAGCACCGGCUAACUACGUGCCAGCAGCCGCGGUAAUACGUAGGGUGCGAGCGUUAAUCGGAAUUACUGGGCGUAAAGCGUGCGCAGGCGGUUAUGUAAGACAGAUGUGAAAUCCCCGCGCUCAACCUGGGAACUGCAUUAGUGACUGCAUAGCUGGAGUACGGCAGAGGGGGAUGGAAUUUCCGCGUGUAGCAGUGAAAUGCGUAGAUAUGCGGAGGAACACCGAUGGCGAACGCCAUCCCCUGGGCCCUGUACUGACGCUCAUGCACGAGAGCGUGGG